UGACUCUUAAGUUAAGAGUCAACCUAGCCAACUGACGUUGUUUGUGGAUUUUUUUCACUAAAACAAUGACGCCAACCGAACCUUUUUUAUCGGUUGGCUUUUUUUUG
rfam:Vibrio angustum S14 1099604003226 genomic scaffold, whole genome shotgun sequence.